GCUUACGGCCACACCGCCUGGUUCACGUUUAACCUCGGAAGCUAAGAUAGGUUGGGCCUGGUUAGUACUUGGAUGGGAGACCGUCUGGGAAUACCAGGUGCUGUAAGCU
rnacentral:rRNA from 1 species